AUGCGUGAUCAGGUCGGCAUCGACCUGGACGGCUUCCCUCUCGACCACGAGUUCCCGGAGGACUAUGGGCUAGAGGAAGAGGACGAGUGCGACGUCGAAGUGGAGCCUUUGUUCGAGGACGAGCUCGCCAACCAAGCCGCCAGUCCUAAGCUGAAGCGCAAGAGCAAGUGCACGAAGGCGUACACAGCUGCCGAGGACAAGCUUCUUUGUGAGUGUUGGCGAGACAUUGGACAAGACCCAAAGACGGGCGCCGAGCAAAAGCAUUCGACCUUUUGGACUCGUGUGCACCGAGAGUUUCAUGAGCGCAAGAAGUUUCCACCUUACCAAUUUGUGAGCAUGCGCGAGUGGGUCUCCAUUUCCAAGCAGUGGAGGGUGAUCCAACAAGAGUGCAACAAGUUUUGCGCCAAGGCCCGCCCCGUGAGCGGCAUCGGCAUGCAAGACAUGGUAUGA
rnacentral:rRNA from 1 species